rnacentral:rRNA from 1 species
GAUGAACGCUGGCGGCGUGCCUAAUACAUGCAAGUCGAGCGAACAGACGAGGAGCUUGCUCCUUUGACGUUAGCGGCGGACGGGUGAGUAACACGUAGGUAACCUACCUAUAAGACUGGGAUAACUUCGGGAAACCGGAGCUAAUACCGGAUAAUAUUUCGAACCGCAUGGUUCGAUAGUGAAAGAUGGUUUUGCUAUCACUUAUAGAUGGACCCGCGCCGCAUUAGCUAGUUGGUAAGGUAACGGCUUACCAAGGCAACGAUACGUAGCCGACCUGAGAGGGUGAUCGGCCACACUGGAACUGAGACACGGUCCAGACUCCUACGGGAGGCAGCAGUAGGGAAUCUUCCGCAAUGGGCGAAAGCCUGACGGAGCAACGCCGCGUGAGUGAUGAAGGUCUUCGGAUCGUAAAACUCUGUUAUUAGGGAAGAACAAACGUGUAAGUAACUGUGCACGUCUUGACGGUACCUAAUCAGAAAGCCACGGCUAACUACGUG